UACGUAGGGUGCAAGCGAUAAUCGGAAUUACUGGGCGUAAAGCGUGCGCAGGCGGUUUUGUAAGACAGGCGUGAAAUCCCCGGGCUCAACCUGGGAAUGGCGCUUGUGACUGCAAAGCUGGAGUGCGGCAGAGGGGGAUGGAAUUCCGCGUGUAGCAGUGAAAUGCGUAGAUAUGCGGAGGAACACCGAUGGCGAAGGCAAUCCCCUGGGCCUGCACUGACGCUCAUGCACGAAAGCGUGGGGAGCAAACAGG
rnacentral:rRNA from 1 species